rnacentral:rRNA from 1 species
AGUGAACGCUGGCGGUAGGCCUAACACAUGCAAGUCGAACGGCAGCACAGUAAGAGCUUGCUCUUACGGGUGGCGAGUGGCGGACGGGUGAGGAAUACAUCGGAAUCUACUUUUUCGUGGGGGAUAACGUAGGGAAACUUACGCUAAUACCGCAUACGACCUACGGGUGAAAGCAGGGGAUCUUCGGACCUUGCGCGAUUGAAUGAGCCGAUGUCGGAUUAGCUAGUUGGCGGGGUAAAGGCCCACCAAGGCGACGAUCCGUAGCUGGUCUGAGAGGAUGAUCGGCCACACUGGAACGGAGACACGGUCCAGACUCCAACGGGAGGCAGCAGUGGGGAAUAUUGGACAAUGGGCGCAAGCCUGAUCCAGCAUACCGCGUGGGUGAAGAAGGCCUUCGGGUUGUAAAGCCCUUUUGUUGGGAAAGAAAAGCAGCAGGUUAAUACCCCGCUGUUCUGACGGUACCCAAAGAAUAAGCACCGGCGAACUUCGU